rnacentral:misc_RNA from 1 species
AAAAGAAGUGAAAGAUUUGAUUGUUUGUGAGUUUCUGACAAAUGGGGAAGUACAUAAGGAAGACAAGAAAAACAGAGGAUGUAUCACCUCUUGGUGUUCUUACAAGGGCUAAAGCUUUAGCUCUUAACGGCGGUGAUGGUGGGUCGUAUCUAGAGCUUAGGAGUAGGAGGCUGGUCAAACCCUUUACGGUUCUUGAAGGGAGAAGACAGAAGAAUGGUGUUCCCAAAAAUCCCAAUUUGGUAAACCCUAACCCUAAUCAACAAAUCCCUAAUGUUUGUGUGAAUUCUGAAGAGGGAAAGGGUGUUAAGGAAAUGGAAAAUCAGAAGGAGAAGGAGAAGAGCUGCUUGGGUCCUGAAGAUUCAUUUGGAGAAAACUUGCUGGAAUUUGAAGGUAGAAAAAGGACCACCAGGGAGAGCACACCUUGCAGUUUGAUAAGGGAUUCAGACAACAUUCAGACCCCUGGUUCCAGUACUAGGCGUACUAAUGCAAAUGAGGCCAACGGCAGAGUACCAAACUCGAUUCAACCAACUAUCCCAACAGAUCUUGAAAUGGAAGAGUUUUUUACCCGUGCAGAAAAGGAGCAGCAGAGAAAAUUCAUCGAG